ACUUGUAUUUUGCAUCAAAACUUCAGAAAACCACAUACAGAAUUCAGAAGGUUUUAUAGAAGAAGAAGAAGAAGAACUAGAGAGAUGGAAGGUUCCGCAUCCAAUUCUACCGCCGGGAGAGCGAUGAUGAACGGCAGGGAUUUCUCGAGGAGAUUUUCUGGCCGGCCGAUUCCCAAGAGAGGUCAGGUGAAGAAGAGAAUCGUGGUGAGAUUAGCCAAUUCCGUGGCUUCAGUAUUCAAUCCUCAUCGUCCAUAAAAGCACAUGGCAGCAGCCUAAGUAACUCGUAGUUACUAAACUUAAACAAAUUUCGAGAUCGAGUAAUUAGGUCAAGAAGUUUUGAGGAUUUGAGCGGGUUGUUAAUUUGUUCAUGUAACGGAUUUUAAUCUUUGUACAUAGUGUAGAAUUUGAAUCAAUUAUUGAAAUGAGAAUCUGCAUUUCUUUGAGAAUCUGCAUUUCUUUGGUCAAACAAAAUCGUAUCUCUUUGGUCAAAUCAUUUUGUUUGGUACAACAAAUCUGGUGCGCGAAAUGAAAUCUCAAAACCUAGAACAAAACUUGCAGGAACUCAUAUUGCAUAGCAAGUUUUACUUAAAAAUGAACAGAUAAUGCUUUUAGUGUACACUGUUAGUGUAUCAGAUCCGCUAUUUGUAAAGAAUUUGUAGCUUAAAUAGUGAAUAGCGUUUAGCCUUGCACCUUAGCUCUAUGUUCAAUUCGCCAUCCCAUAGUAUCACUUUUAUAUAGAAACAAAAAUUCCACUUGUUUGGCCCUGGAUCAUGGAUUUGAUAGAGCUAGUACCUUUUAUAGUAUAUCAUGCGUUAGAGUAAUUUAUUGUAGACGAUGAGUGAUUUAUGAUCGAUUAAUGUAUUUUAAAGCUCAAACUAAUGAUAAUCAUUUACCCACACACAAACAAUUGAUUGUAUCAAAAUUCAAAUACAAUAUUAUCAAAAUCCAAUGAUUAAUACUAGCACUACGACAUUUUCUAUGUCUAAAAAUAGAUUAGAUUGAAUAAUACUAAAUUCAAUACCAUCAUAAGUGGAUAACACUGAUCCGGAUGCAGUGCAUGUGCUUAUGCAGUAGUUAUGUAAGAUAUGGGUGGAUUACGAUAUGAAUGAAACCAAACAACCAUCAACCAACUCUUACAAAUAUCGUAAUAAUCUCACUGCCUACAUCGAAUCUAUGCCUCUUUCUUUUAACACAAUCUGACACAAUGAAACACAUGUUCUUGCAGAUUUUGGUCCAAAGUCCUUUUCAGUACAAGAUUAAGUGCAUGCAUCGUAUUAUAUAAAGGCCAUCACAAAUGGCCCUACUUUAAAUAAUUGUCAAGUAUCAUUUAUCUCUUUCAACAAUUUUUCUUUCACGGUAUAUACCUAUGAGUGAUCCAAAGAAUUAACCGUAGAAUAAUUUAGUAGAUCAACUCGUUAAUCUUGCAUAAAAUUCAUAUGAUUAAGUGCGACGUAUUAACUGUAGAAUAAUUUAAUAGAUCUUACAACUCGUUAAUCUUGCAUAAAAUCCAUACGAGUAAGUGCAACAUAACAUUGUAUCCAAAUCUUGCAUAUUAUAUUAAUCGAAAAUAAGGUUUUAGAUUCUAAAAAGAGAUUGUAAGAUCUUUGGUAGUGAAGGCUAUUUGAUUUUUCAAACCCUUGAACUAAUAAAUAAUUGCAGAUAAGUCCUGCUUACGAGACCCAACAAACUUCACGAGUGGAAGAGAAUCAUAUGACUUUACUUUUAUAGUGGGAGUCAGCAAAGUGGUCAUGUGAUUCUUGUCGACUCUAAUACAGCAGCAAGGAACCAGCACAAUUUAUACAUUUGUUUAAUUGGUCCUACUUUAAUUUGCUACUUUCACCAUGAUUAACUUAACUUUACUACUUUAGGUCAUAUUAAUAUUCAAAUUCUUUACUUUACAAAUUGUCGUGUUGAUAUUUACUGGAUUUUUUUGUUGGUUUUCCAUUUAAAAGAUGUAUUAUGUUGAUGAAUUGGUGGCAGGAGAACUCAACAGCCGGCAGGGUCAAUGUUGGCAACAAAUGAAAGUCAAUGAGUCCUAAAGAGAUUAAUUUUUGUUAAUUGUUCAGCAUAUGUCCCUAAACUUGGUACUUUAAAUUGAAGGUAAUUUGGAAAACAACUAAUUGGUUUUUUACUCGAGACUUGGUUUGAGUAAAAUGAGGUUAUGCGAAAGGGAAAAUCUUCGGUGAGAGUCUUAACUUAUGCGAUUGUCAGACUUUAUAGAUAAUCAUUUCAAUCUCAAAAGUAUGAACAUCUUAUGUAUUUCGGUCUCAUCAGCCUCGCAUUAGUUUUAAGAUGGUGCUAUAUAUCCACACAGUUAUUUUUACCUCUCACAUACUACUCUCAAUUUACAGCGGUUGGAUCGAGCGAAUUGAAAAACCCCAAUGCUAAAAAAUUAACAAGGGUGUAGAGAGGUAAAAAGAUGUGUGUGAACAACAGUACCUUGAUUUUAUUAUUUUGAGACACUUGUCUUACGUGGCAAUCACACACACGAUUUAUUUUUGUAUGGCUGAAACGACCACGUCAUCUUUAGAGUAGCUCUUACAAAAAUAUGACGACCACCGUAUUUCGUGGUGCAUUGUUUUCGAAGGUUGAUCUACAAGAAAAACAUUCGUACUUUAGAAAAAGAACAAGCAUUGCUGUACUUGUUCCAUGUAUAACAAAACAAAAACACUCAAAAUAUGCUGCAAAAUAAGGGUUCCCUUUAUAAUUGGUAGCCUUAUCAGUUAUUUUGUCCAUAAUACAAAUUAUUAGACCCAAAUCUCUUCCCUUUUAAACAUAAUCUAACAUAAUUAAAAUAUUGUGUCCACUGUCUAGUGGGUAUAUUUAGAUGAAGUACAAUGAAUCAAGGUGCUCCCUUUUCCACUAUCAGAUUCAGUGAAUGGUUUGACUCUCUAUAAUUGUACUUUGAAAUAAUCUGAUACAACUGUAAUUCACAUAUAAUUAGCAGUUUGUAAUUAAUUAAUUAUAUUAGUGGCAGGGACAUUAUGUUUUUUGUUUUACAAACGAGAAUUAGUGGAUUAAACUGUUAGCUGGUAGAGAGAAAAAAGAUUGAACCCGCACCAGAGCAAGGACAUUAUGUUUGGAAAUCUUUAAUCACUAGGCUUAAAGAAAAAUGGAAUAUUUUUACUCACGACCCUCAAGUGAUGAUGAUGCUUAUCAUCUUAUUUAUCACCAUUGGAUGAGUUUAAAUUUCGAGAUCUGGGUAGACACAAACCUCAAAAUUUAAACUCAUUCAAUGCUAAUAAGUAGCGUGACGAGCAUUACCUUCACUUGAAAGUGGUGAGCAAAAAUGCAUCAUAUCCUUUCUCUUUAUAGUUGUUAAAUUUAUAUAAUUGUUCACUAUACUUAAGGAGUCAUUUUUUAUUUCCAAAUAACAAUCUGACCUAGACAAAAGUAACUUGUUAAAAUCGUACAAAGAAGUAAAUAUAUCAAAUCAUGAUUUUUCAUGCAGGCAGAAAUAGCUCAUUCAGGGUUUUCAGUGUGCAAGAAACUUUGUAUUUGAUUCCUAUAAAUUAGAAAUAAACUAAAAGAACGAACCAGAAAACUGAAGUCCAAUACGAGGGAGUUUAAUUGCUGUAAUUUAAGAGUUUUAUGAGUUUGAUUAGUAUAAAAUAUGACUCUAACAACUAUAUUAUGUUUAUACAAGAAAUAGAAUACUGUUAUUAGAUUCAAAUUCAAACAAUUUAAUUUUUAUAUAUGGAAAUCAGGCUCCCAUACAUAGCCGUAAAAAGCCUUAUAACCCACAAUUUAGGUCAUCUCUAAUUAAUACAGGUGACACAUUUAGUAGCUCCAAAUAAUGUAACUCCUUCAUGCAUGCUCCACUUGGUCCAAGGGAGCAAUGAGGGUCGGAGAAUGACAAUCAUUCAUUCUUAAAAUCAACAUUCUUAAGAUUAAUAGUCGGAUGAAAAAGAGAAAAAAAAUCUCUAUUUCUUAUUAUCUUGUAACUAAAUUUUUUGAAAAUUUUACGUAAGGUAAAAGUUUGGGUUUCUCAGGAGUAAUAGUUUAAAAGUUGACAAUAAAUUACUUUUACUAUCACUCUAAAAAAUCGUACAUGAGAUUUUUACUCUUUUGUGAAAUGUUGAACGGCUUUUUCUGUUUAACUGGUUGUGAAGAGAGAAGAAUUUAGUUUAUGAGUUUAAGGUGUAGAGAUAAAAAAAGCUUAAUAAAAAUGGAAAACCGACAAAACGAGCCAAUAAAAUGUGAAGUGUGAACACGAGUCACAAGACCAACCAAGAAGGUCAAGAUUGUCUUUAUAAAACCAUAGAAAAUACAGUCAAAUUCUACGAGCAACACUGGAUACUCAAAUAUAUUAAUUUCCCCAAAUUUUUAAAAAGUUGACAUAAAAAAUAAAAAAAAUAAAAAAAAAUAAAAAAAAUAAAAAACAAAAAAGUUUAUGUCCUUAGUAUUAUAUAAACACAAACAAGAAAACCCAAAUCACAAAACAACCUCACAGCUCAAAAGUUUCAGACUUUCAAGAUUCAAACAGUCAUUUCUUCUCUCUUGCUUAAUAGAAGGACUGAUCUCCGCAUCGAGAAGAGCUUUCGAAGCGUUGGAAUACUGAGAGUGUUCUCUGCUUGAUAUAUAUACUUUUUGAUCCCUUAUUACGAUAAUAAUCAGAAGCAAAAGAAUAGAUGGAGGGUGCAAGGAGUGCUAUGAUUAACGGGGGGAGUUUAUCUCAGAGGUUCAAUUCUGGCCGUCUGAUUCCCAAGAGGGGUCAGGUGAAGGUGGCUAUUGUUGGGGUUCUGCUUCACUCUUUCUCCUCCGUUUUCUCUGCCGUCAGCCGCCGUCGCGGCGGCGGUUGUCAAUCUAGUGAUGCUCAUCACUUCUCUUAGCUGAUGAGAUCAUGUUCUGAUCAAUCUUUCAGUCCAUUUUUUUUUUUGUGAAAUAUUUUUACAUCUUAGAUGAGUGAGCGAGUGAGUGAGCGAGUGAGUGAAAGGGGGUAAAAAGUUUGAGCUCUUGUCUUUGUUUCUUGCAACGUAGUUACAUAAGGCUGUAAAAUUUUUGUAGUUUGAAGAGGAUUUUGCUACAAGAAGAAGAGCUACACAGUUCAGAGGGUUUUAUACAAGAAGAAGAGCUACAGAGAUGGAAGGUUCCGCAUCCAAUUCUACCGCCGGGGGAGCGACGUCGAGGAGAUUUUCCGGCCCGCUGAUUCCCAAGAGGGAUCAGGUGAAGAUGGGAAUCGUGGUGGGAUUAGCCAAUUUUGGCUUCAAUCUUCAAUCCUCAUCGUCCAUAAGUGCACAUGGCAGCAGCCUAAGCAACUCGUAGUUACUAAACUUAGACGAAUUUCGAGAUCGACUAAUUAGGUCAAGAAGUUCUGAGGCUUGAAGAGAUUGUUAAUUUGUUCAUGUAAUGGAUUUUAAUCUUUGUACAUUGUAGAAUUUGGUUCAACUAUUGAAUGAGAAUCUGCUUUCUUUGGUCAAAUUAUUUUGUUUGGUACAACACUUUUGGUGCGUGAAAUGAAAUCUCAAAACCUAGAACAAAAAUUAAACUGGAACACCAGGAGCAGGAACUCAUAUUGCAUUUAGCGUACAUUGUUAGUGUAUUAAACUGCUAUUUGUAAGGAGUUUGUACCUUAAAUGGUAAACAACGUUUAACCUUGCACUUGAGCUCUAUGUGCGAAUUCGCGAUCCUAUAGUAUCGCUUCUAUAGAAACAAAAACUCCACUUAUUGGGUCUUGAAUCAUAUAUUUAAUAGAGUUAUUACAUUUUAUAGUCUGUGAAGCGUUAGAGUGUAUCAUGAUCGUUGAUUUAUUGUAAAUGAUGAGUGAUUUACAAUCAAUUAAUGUAUUUUAAAGCUCAAAUUAAUGAUCACCAUUCACCCACACACAAAUUAUUGACUGUAUCAAAGUUUGAAAUACAAUAUUAUCAAAAUUCGAUGUACAAUACUAGCACUACGACAUUUCAUGUCUAAAAAGAGAUUAGAAUCCGGAUGCAGUGCAUGUAUUUAUGCACUAGGAUAUGA
rnacentral:lncRNA from 1 species